rnacentral:rRNA from 1 species
UACGAGAAGGCAGCUACACGGCGACGUGAUGCUAAUCCCUAAAGCCUCUCUCAGUUCGGAUUGGAGUCUGCAACCCGACUCCAUGAAGCUGGAUUCGCUAGUAAUCGCGCAUCAGCCACGGCGCGGUGAAUACGUUCCCGGGCCUUGUACACACCGCCCGUCAAGCCAUGAAAGCCGGGGGUACCUGAAGUGCGUAACCGCGAGGAGCGCCCUAGGGUAAAACUGGUGAUUGGGGCUAAGUCGUAACAAGGUAAC